rnacentral:rRNA from 1 species
UACAGAGGGGGCAAGCGUUAUUCGGAAUUAUUGGGCGUAAAGGGCGCGUAGGCGGCUUUGCAAGUGACGGGUGAAAUCCCUCGGCUUAACCGAGGAACUGCCUGUCAAACUGCAUGGCUUGAGACCGGGAGAGGUGAGUGGAAUUCCCAGUGUAGCGGUGAAAUGCGUAGAUAUUGGGGAGGAACACCAGUGGCGAAGGCGGCUCACUGGACCGGUACUGACGCUGAGGCACGAAAGCGUGGGGAGCAAACAGG